GACCUCGGAUCAGGUAGGGAUACCCGCUGAACUUAAGCAUAUCAAUAAGCGGAGGAAAAGAAACCAACCGGGAUUGCCUCAGUAACGGCGAGUGAAGCGGCAAGAGCUCAAAUUUGAAAGCUGGCCCCUUCGGGGUCCGCAUUGUAAUUUGCAGAGGAUGCUUCGGGUGCAGCCCCCGUCUAAGUGCCCUGGAAUGGGCCGUCAGAGAGGGUGAGAAUCCCGUCUGGGAUGGGGUGCCUGUGCCCGUGUGAAGCUCCUUCGACGAGUCGAGUUGUUUGGGAAUGCAGCUCUAAAUGGGUGGUAAAUUUCAUCUAAAGCUAAAUAUUGGCCGGAGACCGAUAGCGCACAAGUAGAGUGAUCGAAAGAUGAAAAGCACUUUGAAAAGAGAGUUAAACAGCACGUGA
rnacentral:rRNA from 1 species